rnacentral:lncRNA from 1 species
GAUUUCCAUCUGGCCCUGCUGCGUUGGCCUUAGAUACUGGCCCACGACAAACAAGAACAGGGACAAAGACCAGGUCCUUCCUGAGGAGCAGUGUCCACAUAAGACCAAGAGCCAGACCUGCACCUCGCCCUGCUGGUUUGGCCUUAGAUACUGGCCCACGACAAACAAGAACAGGGACAAAAACCAGGUCCUUCCUGAGGAGCAGUGUCCAGA